rnacentral:lncRNA from 1 species
GUACUUUCAAUUUCAUGAUUGUAUUCCAGGCUGAGCACAACAUCCUUUUAACAGGUUGGUCAUCUGUCAGGACGAGAAUGUGAGUUCUUCUUAUUAUCGGUGAGCCGCUGCCCCUCAUACUCUUCUUUCCGUUUUUGGCUCGCUCUUCUUAUCUGCCGUACCCCCAAUCCUCCUUCAUACGAAGGCAUCGUAACAUAUACAUCAAAUCAAGAUCAAAUAAAAGAUUCUCCAUCCCUUCUUUAUACUCGUCUAUCCCUCGAUCAAUUAGAUGGGCCCAGGAUAAGGCAUUAAAAAACCGUCGAUAAGUGGGGCCAUCCCUGCCCCCUCACGUCAAUCCCACGAGCCUCUUAUCCAUUCUC